rnacentral:piRNA from 1 species
UAAUUACAGGUGACAUUUCCAUC